UGGCGAACGGGUGAGUAACGCGUGAGGAACCUGCCUCAAAGAGGGGGACAACAGUUGGAAACGACUGCUAAUACCGCAUAAGCCCACGGGUCGGCAUCGACCUGAGGGAAAAGGAGCAAUCCGCUUUGAGAUGGCCUCGCGUCCGAUUAGCUAGUUGGUGAGGUUACGGCCCACCAAGGCGACGAUCGGUAGCCGGACUGAGAGGUUGAACGGCCACAUUGGGACUGAGACACGGCCCAG
rnacentral:rRNA from 1 species